GGUUACAAUACACUAAAUACUUUUGGUGUUCAAUGCUAUACCCUCUAAAAACAAAAUCUUCAUUUAUUUGAAGACACAAUUCUCUGUACGGGCACUUGCCAUGACUUUAUUUUUGAAUAUUUCUGUGUUCAUGUGGUAGGGAAAACAUUGUUGUAUACUACAAAUUCCCUGUUUUGCUUUUAGGUUGGAGACUACAUAAGACUUUGACAGUUGGCGGGAAACCAUCAUCAACUGGAGAGAUGCCGGAAGAGGAAUGUCUGCGACUAAGUCAAGGGCCACUGGAUAAGGGUUGUUGAUGGCAAAACAGGUUGGAGACUACAUAAGACUUUGACAGUUGGCGGGAAACCAUCAUCAACUGGAGAGAUGCCGGAAGAGGAAUGUCUGCGACUAAGUCAAGGGCCACUGGAUAAGGGUUGUUGAUGGCAAAACAGGAAGAGGAAUGUCUGCGACUAAGUCAAGGGCCACUGGAUAAGGGUUGUUGAUGGCAAAACAGGUUGGAGACUACAUAAGACUUUGACAGUUGGCGGGAAACCAUCAUCAACUGGAGAGAUGCCGGAAGAGGAAUGUCUGCGACUAAGUCAAGGCCACUGGAUAAGGGUUGUUGAUGGCAAAACAGGU